CACGGACCAAUGAGGGAUGGGCACACUCCUGUCAAAGGCCUGUGUUAGCUACUCUGCAGUCACUGCUACCAAGUGAACCACAGAAAGUAACAUAAGGAAGGAAUGAAGAUUCAGCAUGCAUUUGGAGGGACACAUAUUCUAACAUGAUACCCCACAAACUAGAGCUGGUCACCACUAGACGUGACCUGCCUGAGGCCCAUGACACAUCAUGUCUUAGGAUCUUGGGCACUUGAGCAGUGUCAGCAUAUAAAGGCAUGUAUCUGCUGUGGUAUUCGCAUGGAGUCAGGGGACUAGUCUAUGGAGUCAGCGGUCUUCCUCUACCUUUGCAUGAGUUCCAGGGAUUACACUCCAGUUGCCAGGCUUGCAUGAGUUGAAGAACUCCUCGGGAAUAAGAAAAGCACAGAGUACUGAUACCAAGGUAACUUUCAACUUUUCCACAUUCCCCAAAUCUACCUUAAAACUUCACAUUACUCUUUCUAAUUGUACUGUAGUUUCUCUGGUAUUAGCCACCUACUUACCCCAGGUUUAAAUUCAGAACAACAACAAAAAAAGCUUCUGUCAUUCCAAAAUGGAAACAUUUGCUUUACUUCCUUUAAGUUUUCCGUAUUGUUUCUUGCUUGUUUGAAGUUUGGGGACAAUUGACUCUGAUAAGUUAUCAAUAACUAGUUAGGUUUAGCAGUUAUUCACACUAUGGGGUAAUGUAGCAAGACUAAACAUUGUCAGCCUUAUUUUAAGAAGUUGGAUUUCUACUUUUCCCUUCAUCCUACAAAUUGAAAAAACAGCAAUUUAAAUCAGAAAGAGUUGCUGAGUGAAGCAGAUGAUUGUGUAACAGGCAGGAAGCAGCCUCAUGCCCUCAUCUGUAAAGUGGAGGUGAUAAGACAAUCAGUCUCAGGAACACCACACUGUGAAUGUCCCACAGAUAUCCCCCAUACACCAGGAUUCCUAUACACCUCAGAAUCGACAUCCUCACAGGAAUCCUGUAAACACUAAACAAGGAAAUUUGUUAGCUGGAUAAGUGUAAAUAAUCAAGAAACAUUGGUGUUUCUUAAUUUGACUUUCUGAUCAUCUAAACUGUCUUCUCUAAUUGUCUGUUCUACACUGUUUUCUUCAAUCAUAAAUUUCUAUUUAAAAACAUCUCCUAAAGAUUCAGAUUCCUGCUAUUUCUCCAUAAAAACUUCUUGAAUUCCUAGCUCUGACUCUUUACUUCUGGUGCUCUGCCAAUCACUUACCAAUGGAUUUAGAACAAUAUUUUAUUACGUAUUUUUUUGGUAUUUAUUAAGUUCUAAAGUGAUAAUAUUUUAAUGAAACAUUUUGUUGCAGUAGGGCCAUGGACAAAAACAUGGCCCUCAGCUUUAGCUCUGGCCCAGAUGUCAUCAUGGCAUUGAGUAGCAGCACAGGCCACUUAAAUCUGCAUGCAUCUUGGUCCUCAGACACCAACCUGGACUUAGGUAGUUAAGCUGAUCCUGGGCAUCCUUAUGGGCCUUGGUGUCAACAGGAGCCACAUAGGUUACUCCAGACCCUGGCUGCUAUAGGGUCAAGGACCCAGACAAGGGAGGAUAUGAGGGGACUGGGAGGUGAGCAGAAUUGAGGUACAUGAUAUGAAACUCCCAAAGAAGUCAAUGAAAAAGUUAAAUUUUAAAAAUAAAUAAAUAAAUAAAUAAAUAAACAUUUUGGUUAAAACCAAUGAUAAACUAGUCUGCCUCCGUCUUAGACUUGGAAGACAUCUCAUAAUGAAAACAAAUUGCAUUCAUUCCUGUUUAUUAUUAAAUGUGUUUCUUAAGGAUUAGGCUGUACCCUGCCUAUAAUCUUAAUUACAAGUAGUUCCGUACUGCCUGCUUGAGGAAACAGAAACCAUGCCUUUGUUUUGAAAGGUUAUUAUAACCAUGUUGUUAUGACUACCUGGUUACGACCAGGUUGUUAUGACCACCUUGUUAUAACCCCCUUGCAACCAUAUCUUUGUUUUAGGGGGUUGUUAUGACCAAGUUGCUAUCCUUCUGUUCUGGUUCUAAAACCCUACCUAUUUGCCUGCCAAAUCCUCUAUUUGGGAAACCCCUACUCCUAAACUAUAAAACCCUUAUCAUCCCCACAUCAAAAGUUGAUCUCUUGAACCCCUCUUUUAGUGAGAGCCAGCCCAUGAACAUGAAUUAAAUAAGUUUGCUUUAA